rnacentral:rRNA from 1 species
UACGUAGGGUGCAGGCGUUAAUCGGAAUUACUGGGCGUAAAGCGUGCGCAGGCGGUCUCUUAAGACCGAUGUGAAAUCCCCGGGCUUAACCUGGGAACUGCAUUGGUGACUGGCAGGCUUUGAGUGUGGCAGAGGGAGGUAGAAUUCCACGUGUAGCAGUGAAAUGCGUAGAGAUGUGGAGGAAUACCGAUGGCGAAGGCAGCCUCCUGGGCCAACACUGACGCUCAUGCACGAAAGCGUGGGGAGCAAACAGG